rnacentral:sRNA from 1 species
UUUGGAUCAAAGAAAGGUCACAAAAGUGCUUCUGAAAACUUUUGUGGCUUUUUUUGUUGGGACCAAAGGCUAUUACAACUUACUUAAGUUUAAAAGAAGAAAGGAGGUGAGUUGUAGUGGCCAAAGGUAAAGUUAAAUGGUUUAAUGAGAAGAAGGGCUUCGGGUUCAUUUCCAGAGACGACGGAAAUGAUGUCUUCGUUCACUUCUCCGCCAUUAAGAGGGACGGUUUCAAAUCCCUUUACGAAGGCGAUGAGGUAGAAUUCGAGGUUUCUCAGGGUCCGAAAGGACUGCAGGCAACAAAUGUUGUCGUAAUCAGCUAAAGCAGAAAUGCCUUCAACCCAGGAAGAGGCCCUGGGGAUUCCUCCGGGGUCUCUUU